rnacentral:lncRNA from 1 species
UUCUAGAAAAGUUUGAGCUAGAAAGUGGAACCCUAACCUUGCCAAGUGGAAAUGUAGCACCUGGGGAUGAGCUGGACAAGAUGGAGAGCUCACUGGUAGCCAGCGAGCUGCCCCUGCUCAUUGAGGACCUUUUGGAGCACGAGAAGAAGGAGCUGCAGAAGAGGCAGCAGCUUUCAGCACAGACUGUGCUCCCUGCACAGCCGCAGCAGCAGCAGCAGCAACACCAGCAUCCCCUCCUUCCCGUACCAGGCCCUGCCCAGGCCCUGCCCUUGCCACAUGAGUCUGGGCCACCACAGCAGCUUGCUCUGGGUCUUGGAAGUACCCGACAGCCAGGCCUGGGGCAGUCAAUGAUGGCUGCCCAGUCACCAGCUCAUGCCCUUC